AUUAUUACUAUUAUUAUUAUUAUUUGUUAUCAUGUUGCUACGCAAAUGCUUGGAUUCAUUCCACCUUUCCUGGGGCUGCUCUGUCUCACCUGGUACCCAAAUAAAAUUGUGUCCAACACUGGGUCAGAGCUGACUCCCUCACAGUAUCUCUGUAAUAGAGUAGGUUCUUCCUGGUGCAGUACCUGAAGGCUGAACUUCCUCCAAAGCUGUUGUCRAGAAUAGGCCCAGGGAUUUUCAGUCCAGGAGGGCCURUUGCACAUGGUUGUCCAUGGGUUCAGGAGCAAAAAGCUCAUAAUCAUGUUAUGAUCUUUUAGAGACCAAGGGCUGGAUUUAGGACUCACCCAUUGGUGUCCAGUGACAGUGGAGGGGAUGAAUGGACAGGGAUUUACAUACCCACAGCUGUCCGACAUGUUAACGCACAGUGUCAGAUGUUCAUCCUUCUGGAGGGGAAUCUGGAGGUGCCAGGAKAGCACAGGGCAUCUCCUGGCACAGCMUAUGCCUGGSRUGGGCAGUGARUGGAACCUCACAAAGUGAGAAAUGCUCCAAGGUGGAGGCACUUAAACUUAAAGCACUUAACCUAGGGAUCUGCAGGCAAAAGAGGACUCUACAAUCCCAGGAGAGGCACUGGGGACCCAUCUGGCAUGGGCAAGGGAGACUGGAGAGUGAUUUGUGUCAUUGUCAAUAAAAUACCAUGUGCUGGAUCUGGAGAUGCCCCUGGACACAACUAKUACCCUUGGAAAUGCUCCAUAGUCCCUCCAAGCACCUGCCACAUCCACAGUCCCUGGAGGGAUUAGAGGCUGUGAUCCCCAUUUGGUUGGGUCUGCUUCCCACCCUGACCAGCAUGGCCAGUGCAGAGUGASMCYVUGGCCCUGUGGCCCCACAGCCCGCUCACUCCGCAGAGCAGCUCCAUCAGCUUGGGGCCUUGCGGCAGAAGAGGGGAGGGGGUGUGGGAAUGGCCAAUGAGAUCAGAGGAGGGAUUGGGAGGGGUGAGAAGGAAGUGGAACUGGGCUUGAAAGUGUCUUGGAGAGAAAAAUGCCAACUUUUAAUCCAAGACAAUGUUCAGAGUGUGGGUACAGUAAAGCGAGCUCAUGGUGCAGAGCCAGAGGUCCUGUCCCCAGCACAUAUUCUUCAGACAAUCUCCCCCAACCUUCAUGCUGGCCAUUACCCCAGAAGCCACCCCCAGACAAGGCUCCAUGCCCAGCUGGAGGACUGUGCAUCCAACUGUGAGCCCURGGAGGACAAGCCCUCUCCUGGGUCCUCUGCAGGGCUGGCAGGGAGCAUGCAGAGSGACCAUCUAUUCUACCUGUGGACCGUCUUCCUCCCAUGGGGGGGCCUCAUACAGGGUCUAKCAGAACAAAGAUGCAGCCCAGCUUGKUGUUGCAUGAGCAGAGAGGAGAAACUGCCCCAGGAAACUCCUCCCAGACCCAACCCCUCAUACCAGCCAUUUCCAGCACUAGCCAUUCCCAUGGUGCUGGUGAGGGGUGAUCUUGGAAUGUGACCAGCUC
rnacentral:lncRNA from 1 species